rnacentral:rRNA from 1 species
UGGGGAAUAUUGCACAAUGGGCGGAAGCCUGAUGCAGCGACGCCGCGUGGGGGAUGAAGGCCUUCGGGUUGUAAACUCCUUUCGACAGGGACGAAGCUUUUGUGACGGUACCUGUAUAAGAAGCACCGGCUAACUACGUGCCAGCAGCCGCGGUAAUACGUAGGGUGCGAGCGUUGUCCGGAAUUACUGGGCGUAAAGAGCUCGUAGGUGGUUUGUCGCGUCGUCUGUGAAAUUCCGGGGCUUAACUCCGGGCGUGCAGGCGAUACGGGCUGACUUGCGUGCUGUAGGGGAGACUGGAAUUCCUGGUGUAGCGGUGAAAUGCGCAGAUAUCAGGAGGAACACCGAUGGCGAAGGCAGGUCUCUGGGCAGUAACUGACGCUGAGGAGCGAAAGCAUGGGUAGCGAACAGGAUUAGAUACCCUGGUAGUCCAUGCCGUAAACGGUGGGCGCUAGGUGUANNNNGGCUUCCACGUCUUCUGUGCCGUAGCUAACGCAUUAAGCGCCCCGCCUGGGGAGUACGGCCGCAAGGCUA